rnacentral:rRNA from 1 species
GUAGGGUGCAAGCGUCAAUCGGAAUUACUGGGCGUAAAGCGUGCGCAGGCGGGUUUUGUAAGUCUGUCGUGAAAGCCCCGGGGCUCAACCUGGGAAUUGCGAUGGAGACUGCAAGGCUUGAAUCUGGCAGAGGGGGGUAGAAUUCCACGUGUAGCAGUGAAAUGCGUAGAGAUGGGGAGGAACACCGAUGGCGAAGGCAGCCCCCUGGGUCAAGAUUGACGCUCAUGCACGAAAGCGUGGGGAGCAAGCAGGAUUAGAUACCCUGGUAGUCCACGCCCUAAACGAUGUCUACUAGUUGUCGGGUUUUAAUUAACUUGGUAACGCAGCUAACGCGUGAAGUAGACCGCCUGGGGAGUACGGUCGCAAGAUUA